UGCCCAGCAACUCCUAUACCUACCUCCACGCGGUACCGGCCGGAAACUAUUAGCAACCUUAGGGAAGAUCGGGUAACCAACCCCGGUGGGAACUUACUUUGGUCGUAGGCUGACAGGGAAGG
rnacentral:ribozyme from 1 species